UACGGAGGGAGCUAGCGUUGUUCGGAAUUACUGGGCGUAAAGCGCACGUAGGCGGCUUUGUAAGUUAGAGGUGAAAGCCCGGGGCUCAACUCCGGAACUGCCUUUAAGACUGCAUCGCUUGAAUCCAGGAGAGGUGAGUGGAAUUCCGAGUGUAGAGGUGAAAUUCGUAGAUAUUCGGAAGGAAACACCAGUGGCGAAGGGCGGCUCACUGGAC
rnacentral:rRNA from 1 species